rnacentral:rRNA from 1 species
GGGUUGUGAGGUUAAGCGACUAAGCGUACACGGUGGAUGCCCUGGCAGUCAGAGGCGAUGAAGGACGUGCUAAUCUGCGAAAAGCGUCGGUAAGGUGAUAUGAACCGUUACAGCCGGCGAUGUCCGAAUGGGGAAACCCAGUGCAAUUCGUUGCACUAUCGUUAACUGAAUACAUAGGUUAACGAGGCGAACCGGGGGAACUGAAACAUCUAAGUACCCCGAGGAAAAGAAAUCAACCGAGAUUCCCCCAGUAGCGGCGAGCGAACGGGGAGCAGCCCAGAGUCUGAAUCAGCUUGUGUGUUAGUGGAACGGUCUGGAAAGUCCGACGGUACAGGGUGAUAGUCCCGUACACCAAAAUGCACAGGCUGUGAACUCGAAGAGUAGGGCGGGACACGUGGUAUCCUGUCUGAAUAUGGGGGGACCAUCCUCCAAGGCUAAAUACUCCUGACUGACCGAUAGUGAACCAGUACCGUGAGGGAAAGGCGAAAAGAACCCCGGCGAGGGGAGUGAAAAAGAACCUGAAACCGUGUACGUACAAGCAGUGGGAGCACCUUCGGGUGUGACUGCGUACCUUUUGUAUAAUGGGUCAGCGACUUAUAUUCUGUAGCAAGGUUAACCGUAUAGGGGAGCCGCAGGGAAACCGAGUCUUAACUGGGCGUUAAGUUGCAGGGUAUAGACCCGAAACCCGGUGAUCUAGCCAUGGGCAGGUUGAAGGUUGGGUAACACUAACUGGAGGACCGAACCGACUAAUGUUGAAAAAUUAGCGGAUGACUUGUGGCUGGGGGUGAAAGGCCAAUCAAACCGGGAGAUAGCUGGUUCUCCCCGAAAGCUAUUUAGGUAGCGCCUCGUGAACUCAUCUUCGGGGGUAGAGCACUGUUUCGGCUAGGGGGUCAUCCCGACUUACCAACCCGAUGCAAACUACGAAUACCGAAGAAUGUUAUCACGGGAGACACACGGCGGGUGCUAACGUCCGUCGUGAAGAGGGAAACAACCCAGACCGCCAGCUAAGGUCCCAAAGUCAUGGUUAAGUGGGAAACGAUGUGGGAAGGCACAGACAGCCAGGAUGUUGGCUUAGAAGCAGCCAUCAUUUAAAGAAAGCGUAAUAGCUCACUGGUCGAGUCGGCCUGCGCGGAAGAUGUAACGGGGCUAAACCAUGCACCGAAGCUGCGGCAGCGACACUAUGUGUUGUUGGGUAGGGGAGCGUUCUGUAAGCCUGCGAAGGUGACCUGUGAGGGUUGCUGGAGGUAUCAGAAGUGCGAAUGCUGACAUAAGUAACGAUAAAGCGGGUGAAAAGCCCGCUCGCCGGAAGACCAAGGGUUCCUGUCCAACGUUAAUCGGGGCAGGGUGAGUCGACCCCUAAGGCGAGGCCGAAAGGCGUAGUCGAUGGGAAACAGGUUAAUAUUCCUGUACUUGGUGUUACUGCGAAGGGGGGACGGAGAAGGCUAUGUUAGCCGGGCGACGGUUGUCCCGGUUUAAGCAUGUAGGCUGAUUGUCCAGGCAAAUCCGGAUAAUCAAGGCUGAGGUGUGAUGACGAGGUACUACGGUGCUGAAGUAACAAAUGCCCUGCUUCCAGGAAAAGCCUCUAAGCAUCAGGUAACAUUAAAUCGUACCCCAAACCGACACAGGUGGUCAGGUAGAGAAUACCAAGGCGCUUGAGAGAACUCGGGUGAAGGAACUAGGCAAAAUGGUGCCGUAACUUCGGGAGAAGGCACGCUGGUGUGUAGGUGAAGUCCCUGCGGAUGGAGCUGAGACCAGUCGAAGAUACCAGCUGGCUGCAACUGUUUAUUAAAAACACAGCACUGUGCAAACACGAAAGUGGACGUAUACGGUGUGACGCCUGCCCGGUGCCGGAAGGUUAAUUGAUGGGGUUAUCCGUAAGGAGAAGCUCUUGAUCGAAGCCCCGGUAAACGGCGGCCGUAACUAUAACGGUCCUAAGGUAGCGAAAUUCCUUGUCGGGUAAGUUCCGACCUGCACGAAUGGCGUAAUGAUGGCCAGGCUGUCUCCACCCGAGACUCAGUGAAAUUGAACUCGCUGUGAAGAUGCAGUGUACCCGCGGCAAGACGGAAAGACCCCGUGAACCUUUACUAUAGCUUGACACUGAACAUUGAGCCUUGAUGUGUAGGAUAGGUGGGAGGCUUUGAAGCGUGGACGCCAGUCUGCGUGGAGCCAACCUUGAAAUACCACCCUUUAAUGUUUGAUGUUCUAACGUUGGCCCCUGACCGGGGUUGCGGACAGUGUCUGGUGGGUAGUUUGACUGGGGCGGUCUCCUCCCAAAGCGUAACGGAGGAGCACGAAGGUUAGCUAAUCCUGGUCGGACAUCAGGAGGUUAGUGCAAUGGCAUAAGCUAGCUUGACUGCGAGCGUGACGGCGCGAGCAGGUGCGAAAGCAGGUCAUAGUGAUCCGGUGGUUCUGAAUGGAAGGGCCAUCGCUCAACGGAUAAAAGGUACUCCGGGGAUAACAGGCUGAUACCGCCCAAGAGUUCAUAUCGACGGCGGUGUUUGGCACCUCGAUGUCGGCUCAUCACAUCCUGGGGCUGAAGUAGGUCCCAAGGGUAUGGCUGUUCGCCAUUUAAAGUGGUACGCGAGCUGGGUUUAGAACGUCGUGAGACAGUUCGGUCCCUAUCUGCCGUGGGCGCUGGAGAAUUGAGGGGGGCUGCUCCUAGUACGAGAGGACCGGAGUGGACGCAUCACUGGUGUUCGGGUUGUCAUGCCAAUGGCACUGCCCGGUAGCUAAAUGCGGAAGAGAUAAGUGCUGAAAGCAUCUAAGCACGAAACUUGCCCCGAGAUGAGUUCUCCCUGAGACUUUAAGUCUCCUGAAGGAACGUUAAAGACGAUGACGUUGAUAGGCCGGGUGUGUAAGCGCAGCGAUGCGUUGAGCUAACCGGUACUAAUGAACCGUGAGGCUUAACCUUACAACGCCGAAG